AGUGAACUUCGUUUGAAGUGGAAAUUCUUUUAUAAAGCUAGAAGCCUUCAAAAGGCUUCCAGCUUUAUAAAAGAUUGCAACGAAUAGCAGGAAAUAGC
rnacentral:sRNA from 1 species